rnacentral:rRNA from 1 species
GGCCUUGCGCCGGGCGAUGGUUCAUUCAAAUUUUCUGCCCUAUCAACUUUCGAGGGUAGGAUAGUGGCCUACCCAUGGUAUCAACGGGUAACGGGGGAAUUUAGGGGUUCGACUCCGGAGGAGGGAGCCUGAGAAACGGCUACCACAUCCAAGGAAGGGCAGCAGGCGCGCAAAUUACCCAAUCCCGACACGGGGAGGUAGUGACAAUAAAUACUGAUACAGGGCUCUUUUGGGUCUUGUAAUUGGAAUGAGUACAAUUUAAAUCCCUUAACGAGGAACAAUUGGAGGGCAAGUCUGGUGCCAGCAGCCGCGGUAAUUCCAGCUCCAAUAGCGUAUAUUAAAGUUGUUGCAGUUAAAAAGCUCGUAGUUGAACCUUGGGCCUGGCUGGCCGGUCCGCCUCACCGCGUGUACUGGUCCGGCCGGGCCUUUCCUUCUGGGGAACCUCAUGCCCUUCACUGGGCGUGUUGGGGAACCAGGACUUUUACUUUGAAAAAAUUAGAGUGUUCAAAGCAGGCCUUUGCUCGAAUACAUUAGCAUGGAAUAAUAGAAUAGGACGUGUGGUUCUAUUUUGUUGGUUUCUAGGACCGCCGUAAUGAUUAAUAGGGAUAGUCGGGGGCAUCAGUAUUCAAUCGUCAGAGGUGAAAUUCUUGGAUUGAUUGAAGACUAACUACUGCGAAAGCAUUUGCCAAGGAUGUUUUCAUUAAUCAGUGAACGAAAGUUAGGGGAUCGAAGACGAUCAGAUACCGUCGUAGUCUUAACCAUAAACUAUGCCGACUAGGGAUCGGACGGUGUUAGUAUUUUGACCCGUUCGGCACCUUACGAGAAAUCAAAGUUU